GACGAACCUUGCAAACGUUAUUCGGAAUCACUGGGCUUAAAGGGUGCGUAGGCUGUGCAGAAAGUUGGGUGUGAAAUACCUCGGCUUAACCGAGGAAUUGCGCCCAAAACUACUGUGCUCGAGGAAGAUAGAGGUGAGCGGAACUUAGGGUGGAGCGGUGAAAUGCGUUGAUAUCCUAAGGAACACCGGUGGCGAAAGCGGCUCACUGGAUCUUUUCUGACGCUGAGGCACGAAAGCCAGGGUAGCAAACGGG
rnacentral:rRNA from 1 species